rnacentral:rRNA from 1 species
AUUGAACGCUGGCGGCAUGCCUUACACAUGCAAGUCGAACGGCAGCACGGGAGCAAUCCUGGUGGCGAGUGGCGAACGGGUGAGUAAUGUAUCGGAACGUACUUUUCAGUGGGGGAUAACGUAGCGAAAGUUACGCUAAUACCGCAUAUUCUGUGAGCAGGAAAGCAGGGGAUCGCAAGACCUUGCGCUGAUUGAGCGGCCGAUAUCAGAUUAGCUAGUUGGUGAGGUAAAGGCUCACCAAGGCGACGAUCUGUAGCGGGUCUGAGAGGAUGAUCCGCCACACUGGAACUGAGACACGGUCCAGACUCCUACGGGAGGCAGCAGUGGGGAAUUUUGGACAAUGGGCGCAAGCCUGAUCCAGCCAUGCCGCGUGAGUGAAGAAGGCCUCGG